rnacentral:rRNA from 1 species
CUCCUUCGGAAAUUUACUGGAGGGGCGAACGGGGGAGUAACACGUGGGUAUUUUGCCCUGCACUUCGGGAUAAGCCUGGGAAACUGGGUCUAAUACCGAAUAUGACCACGAGACGCAUGUCAUGUGGUGGAAAGCUUUUGCGGUGUGGGAUGGGCCCGCGGCCUAUCAGCUUGUUGGUGGGGUGACGGCCUACCAAGGCGACGACGGGUAGCCGGCCUGAGAGGGUGUCCGGCCACACUGGGACUGAGAUACGGCCCAGACUCCUACGGGAGGCAGCAGUGGGGAAUAUUGCACAAUGGGCGCAAGCCUGAUGCAGCGACGCCGCGUGGGGGAUGACGGCCUUCGGGUUGUAAACCUCUUUCAGCAGGGACUAAGCGCAARUGACGGUACCUGCAGAAGAAGCA